CAAGACAGCCUCAGAGGUGAGGGAGCUACAGGGAGAGGAUGCAAACAGCUGAGCCUGUGGAGAGCCGGCUUGUUCCACGCGGUGUGGCUGCCUUCGCCUUGCUGAUGAAGGCAGUCGGACACAGGGAGAAAGAGGCUACAUCAGCAGCACCAAGCCAACGCCCAGCACGCCUGGGAUUCGAGCACAGGCCUGCCUCCACUUUCCAGUAUGCCACUUGGAUAGCCCAUAACCAUCUAGGAAGGCACUUGGAUCACAAACCACAGGACCAGGAAUUCUCUGCUUGUCUCUUAAUUGGAAGCCAUUGAAGAGUCAGUGGACUGACUCUUCAGUCCAUGGAACGAAUGAGCCAUUAGAUCAACUGAAAAUGUCAAGUUCAGAUGAAUCUGAAUUCUCAUUUAGGUGUUUUCUGGCUGUUGGCCCAUCCCCACAAAUAAAUACACAUUUGAAAGUUAUCCCGUUACUUUGAUAAAAUAAUUUGGUCUCUUACAAAUGAUAAUUCAACUGUCAGUGUGGCUUAGGUGAAGUUUUGGAUUUCUGCAAGUAAGAUAUAUGAACACAGUGUGCAUUAUUUGUACAACAGAUAUCCAUAAGAAUUACAGUAACAAAACCA